CCUACGGGAGGCAGCAGUGAGGAAUAUUGGUCAAUGGGCGCGAGCCUGAACCAGCCACGUCGCGUGAAGGAUGAAGGCCCUACGGGUUGUAAACUCCUUUUAUAAAGAAAUAAAGUGAGGCACGUGUGCCUUUAUGUAUGUACUUUAUGAAUAAGGAUCGGCUAACUCCGUGCCAGCAGCCGCGGUAAUACGGAGGAGCCGAGCGUUAUCCGGAUUUAUUGGGUUUAAAGGGAGCGUAGAUGGGUUGUUAAGUCAGUUGUGAAAGUUUGCGGCUCAACCGUAAAAUUGCAAUUGAUACUGGCAGUCUUGAGUACAGGUGAGGUAGGCGGAAUUCGUGGUGUAGCGGUGAAAUGCUUAGAUAUCAUGAAGAACUCCGAUUGCGAAGGCAGCUUACUAAACUGCCACUGACAUUGAUGCUCGAAAGUGUGGGUAUCAAACAGGAUUAGAUACCCUUGUAGUC
rnacentral:rRNA from 1 species